AUACGAAUUACUUGCUGAUCUUGUUAAAAUUCAGCUUUCCAUUCUCUAGGUAUGAAGUUGGGCCCAAGAUUCUGCAUUUCUAACACGUUCCCAGGUGAUGCUGAU
rnacentral:miRNA from 1 species